UUUUAUUUGAACUUUAAAUUAUUUAUUAUUUAUUAUUUAUGAUUCUAUUUAUUUACUACUUUAUUUAUUUUAUUUUAUUUAAUUAUUUUAUUAUCUUUCUUAAUGAGAAAGAAACUAACGGAAUUUUUUUCCGUUCCGUUUCUUCCGCGUUACGUUGGGCGGGUUCCGCUUCUUUCUCGUAAGAGAAAAAACGUAAAAUCCUCUUUCCUUUUUAGGUCUUUUUCCUUUUCUUCUUGCUAAAGAUAGAGCAGGCAGAAAAGAUUUUUGAUCAUUGGUUAAUCUCUAUCCAUUUAUUCUUUUAUCUUUCAUUUUUGAACAUUCCCCUUAUCCACUGGGUGUUGAGAAUCUUCGUCAACCUCCUUCACGAUCGUGCUCGCAGAAUGAGGAAUUCCGGUCGUACCUUGGGGUGUUAUUUCCGAUUAAUCCCGCACGUAAGGACGGGAAUACGCCUUAGGGCAGUGCCUCGCACGCUUCCGGAUUAAUAUGUUGAUAUUCCUUUUCCACAAUUUUGGGAUUUAGUGAUUAUCUGUGAGUUGAUUUAUUUGCGUUUAUCUGUAUGUUUGUUUGUUUUUAUUUUUAUCACAAAGUUAGUUAGAUUUUAAUCACAAUCAGAUUUUCGCUGCGGUAUUUGUUCCAACAAUCUAAGGCGUAUAUCCCUAUCUGAUUGUGAUUAAAUCUGACGGUGCUAAUCUAUUAAAAUAUAUACAUAUAUAUAUAUAUAUAUAUAUAUAUACAUAUAUAUUUUUGCAUAUAAUUUUGUUUGACAACUUGCUUGUAUGCUUGUCAUUCAAAUUUAAAUAAAUUGGAUUAGCAUUUUUAAUUUCUAAUUGGAUAUUGUUUAUCUGCAAAUUAUUAUUUUUUUUAUUGUUAUUAUUUUUACCGUACGGAUUCAAAAGGGUGGAUUUUUUUUUUUGCGACAGUAAAUAACAUUUUAUUUAUGUACGGUUUGAGUUUUGCUAUUGAAAAUUCCUUAAAAUUUUUUUUUAAAAAAAGGGAUUUGCUACAGUAAUUUUUUUAAAGUGUACGGUUUUUUUAAAAAUUGUUACAGUAAUUAUUUUUAGCUUUCCUGUGUGUACGGGUUUUAGUUUUGCUACAGUAAAACCCAUUGCUAAUUAAAAUAAAAAUAUUGUUUUCUUAUAAGUUUUUUUUUAACUACUUGUACGGAUUUUAAAAAAUAUAUAUAUAUAACUAUAAUAAUCUUUUAUGCUAGUUGUACGGAUUUUAAUAAAAAAUAUUUGCCACAGUAAAUAUUUUUAAAAAAAUUGCUACAGUACUUUCUUUUCCACUGUUGAGAUUUAUUAAAACUUAUUUUUAAUGAUAUAUUAAAACUUAAUUUUAGAGAUAUAGAUAUACUAUUUUUUCGGAAAAAAAAAAGGGAAGGAAAAAUAUUUUGUUCCAAGGGAGAUUUGAUUUCACAGUAUCUAACCUGCAACACUAUUUCUAAAUUUUAUUUUUUCUAUUAUUUCAGCAAUUUUUAAAAUCUAUUUGCUGCAUAGAUAUUAUUUGAUUGCAUAUGUUAUUUGCUCGAAAUUACCUAAUUGAAAUCAAUUUUGUUUUAAAAAAAAUUGUUUGGUCCAUCUUUUGCUGUUGAAUCAAACUCUAUUCAACAUGAUUAAAUUUCAUGAUUUUUAAAUUUUAGUAUAUCUCUGAAAUUGUGGGGGGAGCGCCUUUAUCAGUUUGAUAAAUUUUGAUAUUAUAAUUGCUCUCAUGUUUUCAUUUUGUCUAUCAUUGUGUUUAACUUGUAAAUAAAAUUUAUAAAUUCUAAAGUUAACAUUUAUAUUAUAUUGAGAUAGAAAUCUGUUAGAUGGUUAAUUAUCUAUCAUAUUAUUUAUUUGAGUUUUGUCAGAUUUGACUAGAAUCUUGCAGAUUACCAGAUUGAAGGCCUAAAGAGGACUAUGGUCCUGUAGUCAUCGAGGGGGAUGGGACUUUGCCCGUAAAGGGCCUUCCUGCAGUGGGAACCCAACCUUUGUGAUAGGAGAUCCCUUGAAGAAGGUUCAAUGUGGUAAAAACAAGCUGUCAGGUUGGCCAAGAGCACUUUCUACAAAUUUUAUAAAGGAGCUUUAGCUCCAAUCCCAUCCCUAUGGUGAGUAGUGCUCUGUGUAGUGGAUCAGGUUGAGCUGAGAGCUCUUAAUAGGAUCCAAGGCGAUAAUUUUCGCGAGAUGUGACUCUACACACAUCCCUGGAGGAAACCACCUAUAUAAGAGUAUCCGUAUGUGGCCGCGGCUAUGUGAUAUGGGCUAUCCAUAGAAACUCUUAUGAAAAAUCAAGGUACUGUGCAUGGCCAUUAACGCACAGACCCGCGACGGAGAAUUCUGUACUGUGUGUGUGGUGGUUGAAGUCAGGGUCAAAGGAACGUAGUUCAAGACCUGGUUCACUCCGAUUCCUUCUGAUGGAAAUCACUUACACUAAGUGGGGUUAAGUCUCUUAAAGACACCUCACCCAUUGCAUAGUAUAAAACACCCAGUAAAUUUGAUUUUAAUUCGUAAUUUUAAAAUUUUGAGUUUUGUGGGGGAUUGUUGGUGAAAAACUCAAAAUUUUGAGUUUGAACUUAUUUUAUUUGAACUUUAAAUUAUUUAUUAUUUAUUAUUUAUGAUUCUAUUUAUUUACUACUUUAUUUAUUUUAUUUUAUUUAAUUAUUUUAUUAUCUUUCUUAAUGAGAAAGAAACUAACGGAAUUUUUUUCCGUUCCGUUUCUUCCGCGUUACGUUGGGCGGGUUCCGCUUCUUUCUCGUAAGAGAAAAAACGUAAAAUCCUCUUUCCUUUUUAGGUCUUUUUCCUUUUCUUCUUGCUCAAGAUAGAGCAGGCAGAAAAGAUUUUUGAUCAUUGGUUAAUCUCUAUCCAUUUAUUCUUUUAUCUUUCAUUUUUGAACAUUCCCCUUAUCCAGUGGGUGUUGAGAAUCUUCGUCAACCUCCUUCACGAUCGUGCUCGCAGAAUGAGGAAUUCCGGUCGUACCUUGGGGUGUUAUUUCCGGUUAAUCCCGCACGUAAGGACGGGAAUACGCCUUAGGACAGUGCCUCGCACGCUUCCGGAUUAAUAUGUUGAUAUUCUUUUUCCACAAUUUUAGGAUUUAGCGAUUAUCUGUGAGUUGAUUUAUUUGCGUUUAUCUGUAUGUUUGUUUGUUUUUAUUUUUAUCACAAAGUUAGUUAGAUUUUAAUUGCAAUCGGAUUCCUAUGCGAUAUUUGUUCCAACAA
rnacentral:lncRNA from 1 species